AUGGCGCUCGUCCCCUACAGCAGUGGGUCGGGGACGUCGCUGUCGACGCCGGUCCCGAUGCUCACCGGCGGCAACUACACCACCUGGGCGAUCAAGGUUGAGGCCAACCUCGACGCGGCCGGGCUGUGGGAGGCGGUCGUGCCGCCGGAGGACGUGGCGGCGGCGGUGAUCGUGAAAAAGGACAAGCCGGCGCGGGCGUAUCUGCUCUCAGCGCUCACGGAGGAUCUCUUGUUGCAGGUCUCGCCCAAGAAGACGGCGGCGGAGGUCUGGCCCAGUCUGAGGGCUCGGUAUGUUGGAGCAGACCGAGUCCGGGCAGCGCGGCUGGGCACUCUCCGGGGAGAGUUCGAGCUCUUGCGUAUGGAGGAGGACGAGACGCUGGACCAGUUCGCGGGGAAGCUCGGAGGCAUGACGGCGCGGUUCGCGGGGCUCGGGUCGACGCUGGAGGACGACGUGCUAGUGAAGAAGCUGCUCGAUUCCGUGCCGGACCGCCUAUACGCGGCGGUGGCCGGAAUCGAACAGUUCUGCGACGUCUCCACCAUGGCCUUUGAGGAAGCGCUGGGGCGCCUGAAGGCGUUCGACGAACGGCUGCGUCGAUGCGGACAGGGAGGUGGCGCAAGGGAGGAAGGUCAGCUGAUGCUCACGGCGGAACAAUGGCGUGCGCGGGAGCGACGUGGGCGCGCCGGUGCGAGGGACGACGACGGCGGCGGGAGCGUGGCGUCGAGCGCUCGAGGGAAUCGUCGCGGGCGUUGCUACCACUGCAAUGAACGCGGCCACUUCAAGAGGGAGUGUCCGAGGCGGGAGAAAGCGGCGGCACCGGAGCGAGCUCUGAUGGGGGAGGUCGACGUCGGGGACGCCGGGCUUCUCUAG
rnacentral:rRNA from 1 species